GCUGCAGCAGGCCUUUCUGACAGGCCCACAGUGCUCGGGAGGAACCAGCAAGAGGCUGGCGCCUCUGGUUCUGCUCUACUGUCUGGUAGCAUUGCUCCCCCUGCUCAGGCCGGAUGUGUUCACACCCACCUGCCUGGAGCUAGAUGCAGUGCGCAGCACCUUCUGUGGCCUCCCACUCAGGAAGGGCCUCCAGUGACCUUGUUUGACACCAUCCUCUAUGUGAACAUGCUGGAAGCAUCAACCCACAAGACAGCGCCCUGGACAAGCCCGGUCAUCAAAGCCCUGCCUGCUGGCCUUAAGGAGGGAAACAAAAUACAGCUGAUGCUUCCUGCAGGACAGUGCCCCGAGCAGCAGGUUCAGGCGGAACUCCGGCGACACAGCUGGAAGGUGCUCCGGGAGCCAAGAGGAAAACUCUGAGAGGUUUAACAGCAGCUGCAGGCACUGCACAGGCCUCAGGGCUCUGAACUGAGCUGAUGGGAGGCAGGGACAUCUCGAGUCCCACAUGUCCCCAUGCCUUCCCUGGGGUGCACACCGAGCAUCUGGGGGUGGGAUCUGGCCCAGGGAAACAGGAAAGGACCUGGAAGCCAGCUGGGAUGCAAUUGGCUGACAACUCCAUCUGCAGUGCAGACCAGCCUGGGCGAGUGAGGGCUGUGGCCCACAGUGGCUGAAAGUGGCCUUAGCUGACUUUCAGCUCCACCUAAGGUUUACAUGGAGGCCUGCAACAGUGGAGACAUCCUCAGUGGGAGGCCAAGGCAAGGGCGCAGCUAUAAAGCAAGGCCAACCUGGGCGACACCCGAGACCCUCGUUCAGCUGUAAAAACAAAAGAGGUCGUUGGAAUAAAGUAGGCCCGCUCUGUGCUCUGCCCAGCCCAGGACUGCAACGCGUACUUCAGAGAUGCAGAAAGCAGGAAGCCGGCAUGUGAGGCUUUGCAGGUCUGCCCCAGCCAGGUGCUCUAGGACCCCACAGAUGGAAGAAGUGGGGUGGGAGGGAGGAACCUCUGUGUUCAGGGUCAUACAGCAUGGCUCCUGGUGCGCUUCUGUGGCUAUAUGCUGGAAGUGUGGGCGUGCUCACUCCUGAACUACUGAAAGAAGCCGAGGGGGCUGCCUGUCACCCAGCACCUCCUUCCCUCGCUGCUCUGAACCAGCUCUGACUCACCAACAGCCCUAUUACUGCUAAAAUAGCUUUUUUAUCAAAAGCUAGGUAGAGCCCAGAGCCCAUCCCUGGGCUCCAUGCCUGGAACACAUGCCCCGUCCCGAGGGGCACUCAGCUUUCUGUCAGACUCCAAACUAUACACAAAUUCUGGUCCCCUACCUUCUGAUGAAGUACCAUGACUUUACGUUAUGAUAACAGUGUGAUUUAUUAUUUACCAAAUGCGCUAGGUGCUUGGCAGAUCAAUUUCAAUAAAACAAUGGAUUAUAAAUGCAGCCAGCAAUCUGGCAGUAGCAGUAAUCAACAAAACAUGUUCUAAAUGCUACAUAAUAAAUUGACUAUAAUAAACUCAUAA